rnacentral:misc_RNA from 1 species
UUGAAAUAAAUCUAGCGGGUUGCUGCUGGUUCUUUAAUGAACAUGUGCACACCUGUUAUCUUUAUAUUUCCACUUGUGCACCUUUUGUAGACCUGGAUAAGUUUUCUUAAUGCUAGCAUUAAGGUUUUUGGGAUUGGCCCUUUGUCUUUCCUUUUUAUCUCCUGGUCUAUGUUUAUUCAUAUACCCUAAUGUAUGUUAUUGAAUGUAAUAAUUGGGCCUUGUGCCUAUAAACUAUA